rnacentral:rRNA from 1 species
AUUGAACGCUGGCGGCAGGCUUAAAACAUGCAAGUCGAGCGAGCGGCGGACGGGUGAGUAAUGUCUGGGCAACUGCCUGAUGGAGGGGGAUAACUACUGGAAACGGUAGCUACUACCGCAUACCAUCAGAUGAGCCCAGAUGGGAAGAGCUAGUCGGCGGGGUAAUGGCUCACCUAGGCGACGAUCCCUAGCUGGUCUGAGAGGAUGACCAGCCAAACUGGAACUAGGACACGGUCCAUACUCCUACGGGAGGCAGCAGUGGGGAAGAUUGCACAGUGGGCGCAAGCCUGAUGCAGCCAUGCCGCGUGUGUUAAGAAGGCCUUCGGGUUGUAAAGCACUUUCAGCGAGGAGGCGUUACUCGCAGAAGAAGCACCGGCUAACUCCGUGCCAGCAGCCGCGGUAAUUC